UCGAAUCCGUCAACUUGGAAUCGGUAGUAAUCGUAGGCUCUGCAAGGCUUUUUGAAUGUCUGCCACUGGUUUGUACACACCGCCCAUCACACUGUCC
rnacentral:rRNA from 1 species